UAAGUUUGUAUUUUUAUGGUGUAUUCGUAUUCAUGGAAUAUUAUUAGACAAGAUUGUUAUACUAGUAACUCAUCAAAUGCAAUACCUUGAGUAGUGUGAUGCUAUACUUGGAUUAAAAGAAGGUUGUGUAGCUGUGUAUGGUGACACUGAUGAGGUUUUGAAAGACAACAGUGCAAUCACGGAGUUACUAGUUGAUAAUGUGCAUGUAAGUAAGACUGCAUACAUCUAUGAUUGCAAUGUUAUAUCAGCAAGUAAAGCUGGACAAGAGAAAAAUCAUUUUGAUAAUUGUGAGAAAGAUCCCGAGAUUGAGUUUAAACCAAAUCAAUUAACAGCUAAUACUCUAUGUAUUGCACAUUAUUGUCAUCAUAUUUAUGCUUGAAAUAGGAAGUAGUUGAAAAGAUGUCUGUUCCUCCUGAAGAAAGAGCUCAUAGUACAGUAUCCACCAAGAUGUACAUUCGUUACUUUUUAAUUGGAGGGGGCUAUUUGUUCACAUUAGUAAUCUUACUUCUUUAUUUAAUGACUGAGGUGUGUCUCAUUGUCGCUUUAAAAGUUGCUAUUUUUUAGUUUUGAUUGAAAAUGUACCAAACUUGCCAAUUAUGAUUGAAAACUGCAAGAGACAUCAAACAGCUCGAAGCAAAGACUCGGAGUCCUGUCUACUCUCAUCUACAUGUAUCUGUUACAUUACAAGGACUGCCUACCAUUAGAUCAUAUUCAAUGCAGACUGAAGCAAUGCAUCUUUUCUACAAGUUUCAAAAUCUACACACUCAAGCUUCCUACCUUUAUAAUUAUUGUAACUAAUAGAUGGUUUGGAAUGAGACUUGAUAUUCUUAGCACAUUAUUUGUUGCAUCUGUAGCUUUUGCAUCUAUUCCCCUGUCAUCUAUGCUGGAUGCAGGUUUAGUGGGGCUGGCACUUAUCUAUUCUGUAUUACU